GUCCAGACAAAUCCCUUUCACCCCCGAGGCCUGUGCUCAUCCUCGUCACGGCCUCCCCUGCCAGCCCCAGGCUGCCCCAGCAGGAAAGAUUAAGGGGGGACCAACAGGGCGGGAGCCUGUGGUGCUCAGGGCCCUGCUACCUGUGCCCCAGGUGCGCUACCUGAAGAUCAUUGAGAAGAGUGGGUACCAGGCCCUGCCCUGGGUGCGUUAUAUCACGCAGAACGGAGAUUACCAGCUCCGGACCCAGUGAGGGACUGUUGCGGCCAACACCCCGGCCUCAGGGCUCCUGGUGGCAGCACCAGGGGACACACCUGCCAAGCCCGCCAGAUGGAGGGGCCCUCCCUGGUCUCUGGCCACCCUCCCAGCCUCCGCCCAGGGACCCCUGCCUUCCCCAGGCCACCUGCUCUGCCGUCAACACUCGUCUCAGAAGCCCCUUUCCCAGAAGAGGCUGGUCUUCGAGAAGUCUCGUUUCUUCGCCCCUGAAGUCAAUUUCAGGGGAAGGAUGUGAAAAUUUUCCCUGUAGAGGUUACAGCCUUUUAUGCUGUUAAGCUCCCAGGUACCAAAAGGCUUGGCCAACGC
rnacentral:sRNA from 1 species